UGAAAAGCAAGCAUUUUAUUGCCUUGCAUCUUAGGUAUGAACCUGAUAUGUUGGCAUUCUCAGGAUGCUAUUAUGGUGGAGGUGAUCGGGAAAGGGAAGAACUAGGUGCCAUACGGAAGAGGUGGAAAACUUUACAUAUUAGAAACCCUGACAAGGAAAGGAGGCAUGGAAAAUGCCCUCUCACUCCAAAGGAAGUUGGUCUCAUGUUGAGAGCAUUGGGUUAUGGCAGUGAUGUUCAUAUUUAUGUGGCCUCUGGAGAAGUAUACAAAGGGGAAGAAUCAUUGGCUCCUCUAAAGGCACUCUUCCCGAACUUCUAUACUAAGGAGACUAUAGCCAAAAAGGAGGAGCUGGAACCAUUUUCUUCANNNNNNAAUGGCUGCACUUGACUUCAUUGUUUGUGAUGAAAGUGAUGUAUUUGUUACUAACAACAACGGUAAUAUGGCUAGAAUAUUAGCUGGGCGGAGGAAAUAUUUUGGACACAAACCCACCAUUCGCCCAAAUGCUAAAAAACUUUAUCGUUUGUUCUUGAACGAAGGUAACAUAACAUGGGACGUGUUUGUAUCUAAAGUGCGAAGUUACCAGCGGGGCUUCAUGGGGGAGCCAAAGGAAGUUAGGCCAGGCAGGGGAGAGUUUCAUGAGAACCCGCACACCUGCAUCUGUGAAGAUUCUGAAGCCAAGGCAAAGAAAGAUUCAGGACCUAGAAAGUACGGAAAAGGGUAUAAUGUAACUGGAGAGGAUAGCACAAAUGAUGAUCUAAA
rnacentral:misc_RNA from 1 species